rnacentral:rRNA from 1 species
AUUGAACGCUGGCGGAAUGCUUUACACAUGCAAGUCGAACGGCAGCACGGGUGCUUGCACCUGGUGGCGAGUGGCGAACGGGUGAGUAAUACAUCGGAACGUACCCUGACGUGGGGGAUAACGUUGCGAAAGUUACGCUAAUACCGCAUACGUCCUGAGGGAGAAAGCAGGGGAUCGUAAGACCUUGCGCGUUAGGAGCGGCCGAUGGCGGAUUAGCUAGUUGGUAGGGUAAAGGCCUACCAAGGCGACGAUCCGUAGCGGGUCUGAGAGGACGACCCGCCACACUGGAACUGAGACACGGUCCAGACUCCUACGGGAGGCAGCAGUGGGGAAUUUUGGACAAUGGGCGAAAGCCUGAUCCAGCCAUUCCGCGUGAGUGAAGAAGGCCUUCGGGUUGUAAAGCUCUUUCGGCAGGGAAGAAACGGUUUUGGAUAAUACCCAGAACUAAUGACGGUACCUGAAGAAGAAGCACCGGCUAACUACGUGCCAGCCGCCGCCGUAA